CACGUAGGGUGCGAGCGUUGUCCGGAAUUAUUGGGCGUAAAGAGCUCGUAGGCGGUGUGUCGCGUCGGCCGUGAAAACCUGUGGCUUAACUACGGGCUUGCGGUCGAUACGGGCAUCACUGGAGUUCGGCAGGGGAGACUGGAAUUCCUGGUGUAGCGGUGAAAUGCGCAGAUAUCAGGAGGAACACCGGUGGCGAAGGCGGGUCUCUGGGCCGAUACUGACGCUGAGGAGCGAAAGCGUGGGGAGCGAACAGG
rnacentral:rRNA from 1 species